rnacentral:misc_RNA from 1 species
AAGCAAGAUGGUCCAAUUGAGACUGAAGAGGCGACAAAAAUAUAUGUAUGUGACAUCAACCCAAAUAUGCUGAAUGUUGGGAAGAAGCGUGCUAUUGAGAGAGGGCUCGGUGAAGACCAAAGCCUUUGUUGGGUACAGGGUGAUGCAGAAGCUUUGAGUUUUGAAGAAGGGUCUAUGGAUGGUUACACUAUUGCCUUUGGAAUCAGAAACGUA